UACGAAGGGUGCAAGCGUUACUCGGAAUUACUGGGCGUAAAGCGUGCGUAGGUGGUUUGUUAAGUCUGAUGUGAAAGCCCUGGGCUCAACCUGGGAAUUGCAUUGGAUACUGGCAGGCUAGAGUGCGGUAGAGGGUAGUGGAAUUCCCGGUGUAGCAGUGAAAUGCGUAGAGAUCGGGAGGAACAUCCGUGGCGAAGGCGACUACCUGGACCAGCACUGACACUGAGGCACGAAAGCGUGGGGAUCAAACAGG
rnacentral:rRNA from 1 species